rnacentral:rRNA from 1 species
UACGUAGGGCGCAAGCGUUAUCCGGAAUUAUUGGGCGUAAAGAGCUCGUAGGCGGUUUGUCGCGUCUGCCGUGAAAGUCCGGGGCUCAACUCCGGAUCUGCGGUGGGUACGGGCAGACUAGAGUGAUGUAGGGGAGACUGGAAUUCCUGGUGUAGCGGUGAAAUGCGCAGAUAUCAGGAGGAACACCGAUGGCGAAGGCAGGUCUCUGGGUAUUAACUGACGCUGAGGAGCGAAAGCAUGGGGAGCGAACAGG